rnacentral:rRNA from 1 species
UCCGUAGGUGAACCUGCGGAAGGAUCAUUACUGAUUUGCUUAAUUGCACCACAUGUGUUUUUCUUUGAAACAAACUUGCUUUGGCGGUGGGCCCAGCCUGCCGCCAGAGGUCUAAACUUACAACCAAUUUUUUAUCAACUUGUCACACCAGAUUAUUACUAAUAGUCAAAACUUUCAACAACGGAUCUCUUGGUUCUCGCAUCGAUGAAGAACGCAGCGAAAUGCGAUACGUAAUAUGAAUUGCAGAUAUUCGUGAAUCAUCGAAUCUUUGAACGCACAUUGCGCCCUCUGGUAUUCCGGAGGGCAUGCCUGUUUGAGCGUCGUUUCUCCCUCAAACCGCUGGGUUUGGUGUUGAGCAAUACGACUUGGGUUUGCUUGAAAGACGGUAGUGGUAAGGCGGGAUCGCUUUGACAAUGGCUUAGGUCUAACCAAAAACAUUGCUUGCGGCGGCAACGUCUACCACGUAUAUCUUCAAACUUUGACCUCAAAUCAGGUAGGACUACCCGCUGAACUUAAG